UACGUAGGGGGCUAGCGUUGUCCGGAAUCAUUGGGCGUAAAGCGCGCGUAGGCGGCCCGGUAAGUCCGUUGUGAAAGUCAAAGGCUCAACCUUUGAAAGCCGGUGGAUACUGCCGGGCUAGAGUCCGGAAGAGGCGAGUGGAAUUCCUGGUGUAGCGGUGGAAUGCGCAGAUAUCAGGAGGAACACCGAUAGCGAAGGCAGCUCGCUGGGACGGUACUGACGCUGAGGCGCGAAAGCGUGGGGAGCGAACAGG
rnacentral:rRNA from 1 species